ACCAGUGAUUUUGAAAACCUAAGCUCUGGAUCUAUGUCACAGUGUAGUGACUAUGUCUUUGGAAAUGACUCUGGAUGAUCAAGCCUAUCUAUGCUUUGUGGAUUUCAUAUCUUAUCUCCUGUCUUCGUUUGGAUUCACAUCAAGAUGGCAGGUUCUUGCUCCCGUUGUCUCCUGGACCAAACCGUAAGCGGAACCUGUCCAUCCUCCAACGUAAACCCCUGCACACUGAACUCAUUCCCGUCUGCUCGGAGCUCACACUGAACAGCACCUAAGGAACCUCCUACAGACUCACCUUUGUCUAACCUGGAUCCUGAAUCUCUCUACCCCUGGCGACCUGACCACAGCUACUUAUUGGAAUUUUGACCAUUACGUUCCUGAUUAUCUUCCUUUUAAAUAAAUAACCUUUUACUGGUUUUGUUCUUCGGAGUGUUUCUCUGUAUGUGGGUCAGAUCUAUUGCAAAAACAAUGACACCGUGUAGCUGAUGUCUUUACAGACAAAGAAGCAAAGUUAAAACCAAGGUGUAUUUUGGUUUGUUCACCAGAUGCAAGUGCAGGAGAGGGUGAGGUAUCAAAUGAAAAAAAAGAUAAAUAAAUCGUAAAGUAUUUUUAUAGAAUAUACCCGCCAUUUGCCCAAAAAAGAAGGCUGUAAUUCCAGGCAAUGCAAUUCUGAUAACAUACAGCAAGAGUUGAUUUUUAUAGCUAGAAACUUACCACAAAUAACAAAAUGUUAGUGAAAAAUGUUCUUUGUAAGAUCUUGUCAUGUUGAAUACCUUGCAUAGUAUUUGAUCCAUCCUACUGUUAAUUUCCAUACACCUUUCUAAUGGCAGGUCACACUGAGAAAACCCAGGCAUUUUUCCAGUAAUGCGUUCUAGCUCUUUUGGAGUAUCCUUUUGGAGUCCUUUUGGGAAAUUCUCUCAAGUUACUAUGACACAUGUAAUUUGACAAAUUCACUUCUCCCUGAAGGCCGUCUUAUCACACCAAACCUGAGAAACACUCUCAUUAUUGCAGACAAACCCCAAAUUCAUCUCUAACUCUGGAAAACUGUUUUUUUUAUUUUUAUUUGUUGAAUGCAUGUUUUUAUUAUCUUGUAUACCAAGAUGUAGCUCUAAAGUUAGCCCAAGUCCACACCUGAUUGGUUGAUCAGGCUUUUGAGAGAAGCUCAUAAGCUGCUGGUAAUUCCUAGACUUUAACUGUUUCAUUUAGUAUACUGAACAUUCAUUCCCUUGUCACAAAACCUUUCCUUUUAGUCUGUUGUGUGUAAAUUAAUAAGUAUUAUUUCUCCCUGUUUGUCAAUCAUAUUUGUUUAGUUUGGUCAAUAAAUUCAAGUGUAACUCC